AUGAACGCUAGCUACAGGCUUAACACAUGCAAGUCGAGGGGCAGCAUGGUCUUAGCUUGCUAAGGCUGAUGGCGACCGGCGCACGGGUGAGUAACACGUAUCCAACCUGCCGUCUACUCUUGGCCAGCCUUCUGAAAGGAAGAUUAAUCCAGGAUGGGAUCAUGAGUUCACAUGUCCGCAUGAUUAAAGGUAUUUUCCGGUAGACGAUGGGGAUGCGUUCCAUUAGAUAGUAGGCGGGGUAACGGCCCACCUAGUCAACGAUGGAUAGGGGUUCUGAGAGGAAGGUCCCCCACAUUGGAACUGAGACACGGUCCAAACUCCUACGGGAGGCAGCAGUGAGGAAUAUUGGUCAAUGGGCGAUGGCCUGAACCAGCCAAGUAGCGUGAAGGAUGACUGCCCUAUGGGUUGUAAACUUCUUUUAUAAAGGAAUAAAGUCGGGUAUGCAUACCCGUUUGCAUGUACUUUAUGAAUAAGGAUCGGCUAACUCCGUGCCAGCAGCCGCGGUAAUACGGAGGAUCCGAGCGUUAUCCGGAUUUAUUGGGUUUAAAGGGAGCGUAGAUGGAUGUUUAAGUCAGUUGUGAAAGUUUGCGGCUCAACCGUAAAAUUGCAGUUGAUACUGGAUGUCUUGAGUGCAGUUGAGGCAGGCGGAAUUCGUGGUGUAGCGGUGAAAUGCUUAGAUAUCACGAAGAACUCCGAUUGCGAAGGCAGCCUGCUAAGCUGCAACUGACAUUGAGGCUCGAAAGUGUGGGUAUCAAACAGGAUUAGAUACCCUGGUAGUCCACACGGUAAACGAUGAAUACUCGCUGUUUGCGAUAUACGGCAAGCGGCCAAGCGAAAGCGUUAAGUAUUCCACCUGGGGAGUACGCCGGCAACGGUGAAACUCAAAGGAAUUGACGGGGGCCCGCACAAGCGGUGGAGCAUGUGGUUUAAUUCGAAGCAACGCGAAGAACCUUACCAGGUCUUGACAUCCUUUGACCACUCUAGAGAUAGAGCUUUCCCUUCGGGGACAAAGUGACAGGUGGUGCAUGGUUGUCGUCAGCUCGUGUCGUGAGAUGUUGGGUUAAGUCCCGCAACGAGCGCAACCCCUGUCCUUAGUUGCCAGCAUGUAGAGAUGGGAACUCUAAGGAGACUGCCGUAGAUAAUACGGAGGAAGGUGGGGAUGACGUCAAAUCAUCAUGCCCUUUAUGUCUUGGGCUACACACGUACUACAAUGGCGUUAAACAAAGAGAAGCAAGACCGCGAGGUGGAGCAAAACUCAGAAACAACGUCCCAGUUCGGACUGCAGGCUGCAACUCGCCUGCACGAAGUCGGAAUUGCUAGUAAUCGUGGAUCAGCAUGCCACGGUGAAUACGUUCCCGGGCCUUGUACACACCGCCCGUCACACCAUGAGAGUUUGUAACACCCAAAGCCGGUGAGGUAACCCUUCGGGGAGCCAGCCGUCUAAGGUGGGACAGAUGAUUAGGGUG
rnacentral:rRNA from 1 species